rnacentral:rRNA from 1 species
AUUGAACGCUGGCGGCAGGCCUAACACAUGCAAGUCGAACGAGCGGCGGACGGGUGAGUAAUGUCUGGGAAACUGCCUGAUGGAGGGGGAUAACUACUGGAAACGGUAGCUACUACCGACUAACAUCGGAGGUACCCAGAUUGGAUUAGCUAGUAGGGGGGGUAAUGGCUCACCUAGGGGACGAUCCCUAGCUGGUCUGAGAGGAUGACCAGCAACACGGGAACUGAGACACGGUCCAGACUCCUACGGGAGGCAGCAGUGGGAAAUAUUGCACAAUGGGCGCAAGCCUGAUGUAGCCAUGCCGCGUGUGUGAAGAAGGCCUUCGGGUUGUAAAGUACUUUCAGCGGGGAGGCGUUACCCGCAGAAGAAGCACCGGCUAACUCCGUGCCAGCCGCCGCGGUAAUAC